rnacentral:misc_RNA from 1 species
GAUGAAGAACGCAGCGAAAUGCGAUACGUAAUGUGAAUUGCAAAUUCAGUGAAUCAUCGAGUCUUUGAACGCACAUUGCGCCCCCUGGUAUUCCGGGGGGCAUGCCUGUCCGAGCGUCAUUGCUGCCCUCAAGCACGGCUUGUGUGUUGGGCCCCGCCCUCCGAUCCCGGGGGACGGGCCCGAAAGGCAGCGGCGGCACCGCGUCCGGUCCUCGAGCGUAUGGGGCUUUGUCACCCGCUCUGUAGGCCCGGCCGGCGCUUGCCGAUCAACCCAAAUUUUUAUCCAGGUUGACCUCGGAUCAGGUAGGGAUACCCGCUGAACUUAAGCAUAUCAAUAAGCGGAGGA